rnacentral:rRNA from 1 species
AAUGUCGAGAGUUAGAAAAGGGGAAGGAGACCCCUGAGGAAGUUGCUACCUUUACUCCCUUUUUAAGAGAGGAGCGAAUUAUACGGACCGCCACUUCUAAUGUGGAAGAAGGAAGGGGCCACGGUAGGUCAGAAUGCCCUGAAACCCUACGUCUACACGCGGGCAUGCGAUGGUAUUGAUCAUGUGUUUCGAAUCCGAAAGGAGGAGGCAAGCAUCACGCAAUAUCUUGGUUAUGACUGAGGGCUGUAAUUCGCCCUCUCAAAUAUGGAAUCCCUAGUAACCGCGCGUCACUACCGCGAGAUGAAUACGUCCCUGCUCCUUGCGGGAAUUCGCCC